rnacentral:rRNA from 1 species
NNNGNUNGNUGNNGGNUCNNAGUGAACGCUGGCGGCAGGNCUANCACAUGCAAGUCGAGCGGCAGCGCGGGGCAACCUGGCGGCGAGCGGCGGACGGGUGAGGAAUUCGUCGGAAUCUGCCUUUUUGUGGGGGAUAACGUAGGGAAACUUACGCUAAUACCGCAUACGACCUACGGGUGAAAGUGGGGGACCUUCGGGCCUCACGCAGAAAGAUGAGCCGACGACCGAUUAGCUAGUUGGUGGGGUAAAGGCCCACCAAGGCGACGAUCGGUAGCUGGUCUGAGAGGAUGAUCAGCCACACUGGGACUGAGACACGGCCCAGACUCCUACGGGAGGCAGCAGUGGGGAAUAUUGGACAAUGGGCGCAAGCCUGAUCCAGCCAUGCCGCGUGUGUGAAGAAGGCCUUCGGGUUGUAAAGCACUUUUGUCCGGAAAGAAAUCUUCCAGUUUAAUACGCUGGGAGGAUGACGGUACCGGAAGAAUAAGCACCGGCUAACUUCGUGCCAGCCGCCGCGGUAAUAC